AAUUUUUCAAAAACUUUUUUUGUUGUGUCCACGAGUACAGGCCACUCUUUUAUAGAAUUUAUAAUGGGUUCGAGGGUCGAAUUAUCGCAAUUCGAUGGAAAGGGGGAUUACUCGAUAUGGAAACAGAAAAUGAGGGCCAUUUUGGUCCAACAGAGAGUUGCUAAAGCUCUUGAUGAUCCCGCUACAUUUUCUGAUGAGUUAAAAGCUAAAACAACUGAAAUUGAAGACAUGAAUGAAAUUGCUUACAGUUAUAUAAUUUUGCAUCUAUAUGACAAUAUUGUGAGACAAGUUGAUAGUGCUAAAACUGCUAGAGCUUUGUGGAUUGCUUUAGAUGCCCUGUUCUUAACUAAAACUUUACCUAACAAAAUAUACCUGUUGGAGAAUUUGUUUAGUUUUAAGAUGGACCCGGGGAAGGAUGUCAAG
rnacentral:lncRNA from 1 species